AAGUGUUGGAAUUAGGCCUGGACAGGGCUCCUAACAAGCCUGCUCUCACGUCCCAUGGUAUUUUAAGGGCUACAAGAAACUUGGAGCUUGGUUUCUUCCUGGAACUGUUCUUCUAUCAGUGCUGUGCUGCAGAGGGGGAGAACAGGACAGAAAUAGCAAAGGUCUCUGCACUGCUCUACUCUACAGUGGGCGGCGGUGCGGCGAAGAGGGGCCGCCUCCAGCCUCCCUCGCCGCGGCCCCGGGGACCACACGUCUAGGACACCCCCUUUUCUCGGCACGGGGUAGGUCAGCAGGCACGUCCGAGAAUGGGGCAAUAGCCUAAAGCUCUGCUUCAGCGGGGUGUUUUCAGCUAACGAGGGUAACACUUUCAGGAGAGGGGUUAUCUACUGGCCAGAUGUGUCCCGCCUCUUGGUUCGAGUACCAGCCGGCAGGAGCCGAUGGACCCGAGUGCCUUUACAAGUGUCAGCGUCCGGCGUUUUCGGCAUGAGUCCCGUCACCUGGCAGCGGGUGCCACAGACCCUGUCCAGGACCCACUCUUCCCUCUCCAGCAAAGGAGCUCCAGCACUUCACACACAUCACUUCUCUAAGUGUCUCAACCCUCUCAUGAGCUCUGUUGGGCACAGACGUCUGAGGCAGCAGGAGCAGCAGCCAGGUCUUCCCACUACCUCUAGCUUUGUUUUAAAGGGAUAUUCAAGCAAACCCAGAUACUUUCAUCUACUCUGGUUGCCUCUGCCCCACUCCACUCUCUGCUUAGACUUCAGCCAAAAAUUGGCCAUGACCAAUUGGCUUGUUCAACUACUCUACUUCCAGGCACUCAACAGGAGCAGGCAUUGCGGGGGUAGGAAGGAAGGCCGUGAUGCCAGCC